UACAGAGGGUGCAAGCGUUGUCCGGAAUUAUUGGGCGUAAAGAGCUCGUAGGCGGUUUGUCGCGUCUGCUGUGAAAACUCGGGGCUUAACUCCGGGCCUGCAGUGGGUACGGGCAGACUAGAGUGCGGUAGGGGAGACUGGAAUUCCUGGUGUAGCGGUGGAAUGCGCAGAUACCAGGAGGAACACCGGUGGCGAAGGCGGGAUCCUGGGCCAGUACUGACGCUGAGGUGCGAAAGCGUGGGGAGCAAACAGG
rnacentral:rRNA from 1 species